GUCUCAGUUCGGAUUGUAGUCUGCAACUCGACUACAUGAAGCUGGAAUCGCUAGUAAUCGCGAAUCAGAAUGUCGCGGUGAAUACGUUCCCGGGUCUUGUACACACCGCCCGUCACACCAUGGGAGUCAGUAACGCCCGAAGCCGGUGACCUAACCGAAAGGGAGGAGCCGUCGAAGGUGGGACCGAUAACUGGGGUGAAGUCGUAACAAGGUAUC
rnacentral:rRNA from 1 species